UACGUAGGGGGCUAGCGUUGUCCGGAAUCAUUGGGCGUAAAGCGCGUGUAGGCGGCCCGGUAAGUCCGCUGUGAAAGUCGGGGGCUCAACCCUCGAAAGCCGGUGGAUACUGUCGGGCUCGAGUACGGAAGAGGCGAGUGGAAUUCCUGGUGUAGCGGUGAAAUGCGCAGAUAUCAGGAGGAACACCGAUUGCGAAGGCAGCUCGCUGGGACGUUACUGACGCUGAGACGCGAAAGCGUGGGGAGCAAACAGG
rnacentral:rRNA from 1 species